UUAAAAUAUAUUGGUUUACCAAUUCAAGAUAAUUUUAAUGUGUUUGCACAAAAACAUAAUUUUAAUAUGUAAUUCAUUAAUUAUUUCUAUUUUAAUAUAAUGUAGAAUAUACUUAUAAAAUUUAUAAAAUUAUCAUAUAAUUUCAUUAUUUUGUUUAUAAUAAAAUUUUAAUUUUAAUUAAUUUAUAAUAAUAUUAUACUACUAAUUGCGAAAUAAAUCAGUGCAUUAAUUAAGAGAAUAUUUAAAUUUUUAAAAAGAUUUUGGUAGAUUUUUUCUCAACAGAUUUUGUUAUUCCUAAAACUAAAAUUUAAAUUUAUAAUUAAAAUGGACUUGUUAUUAAUAUUCUUAUAAUUAAUCAAAUUUCAACCAUCUUUUUCUUAAAACCCUAGCCGUCAGAGAGAGAAAAACUCCAUAGCCAUCGGUCUCCCUCUGUGGUUGGCCGUGCUUCUCACUGCUGCUACGUGAGGGAGGAUCGGUGUCGUUUGUCUCCGGUGACAUGCUUUCUUUUCGAUGGUCGUCCGGUUCCGUCUCUGGAAUGCGAUGUCUCUUUUAGCAUCGGUUUAGCCGGCUUUGUGUCUCUGGGAAGGGAUGGUUUCUCUAACAUCUCUAUCGCCGGCUUUGUGUCCCCGGGAAAGGUUGGCUUCUCUAGCAUCUCGAUCGCCGGCUCUUUCUCGGGUUACGGGGGUGUAUGUAACCGGUUGUUCGUUUUUUGUCGGUUUUGGUAGAUCUUUCAGUGUUUGACUCAAUGGCUCGAGCGUUGAGUAUUCUCACUACUUCCGUUUCUUCUUAUCUCUUCGAGCUUUUGGCGCUUCCAGUUUGUCGAGGUCUUGUGGUUGGGGUUCGACUUUUGGAUGGUAUACAGCUGUGGAGCCAUCUACCUGUUUUUUCUCUGUGACUGGUUUGCGGAGUAAAGCAUUAAGACGAAGCAGUGGUUUCGGUUUUCAGCUCAUCUCUUGCGAGGAGGUGACCAUACUUUUGCUUGUAGGUGGUGGGGUAUGGGUACACGAGGGUCCGUGUGUAUGAGCUGCUGAUCCUUUUAGUUGUUGUCCCCUCUUCGAGUUUCAAGUUUUGAUCUUGUGCUUUGGUUUUUCAUGGUCGCUGGCGGUUUGUUGCAGAUGUGUUAUUAGUGGCUUUUGUCUCUGUGUCUGCUUCAGUUUUGGCGUUGUAGUUUCUGCCGGGUUGGUUCCUGUGAGAUUGUGGUUUCGGCCUAUAUGGUUUGUGGUUUCCUCAAGUCUCUGGUUCUUAUGGUUUCAGUUCGUGCUUAUUCAGGUUCUAUGGAAACUCUCGUUUGAUUGUCGGCUGCGUGGAGUUAGAUAUGUUCUUGUUUUUGUUGUUUUGGUUCUACUAGUUGUGUGAUUUAUCAUUAAUUUUAUAAAAUAUCACAAGAGUUAAAAAAAAAAUUAAUA